CCUACGGGUGGCUUCAGUGGGGAAUAUUGGACAAUGGGCGAAAGCCUGAUCCAGCCAUGCCGCGUGUGUGAAGAAGGCCUUCGGGUUGUAAAGCACUUUCAGUGGGGAAGAAAGCCUUGGGGCUAAUACCCUCGAGGAAGGACAUCACCCACAGAAGAAGCACCGGCUAACUCCGUGCCAGCAGCCGCGGUAAUACGGAGGGUGCGAGCGUUAAUCGGAAUUACUGGGCGUAAAGCGCGCGUAGGCGGUCUGAUAAGCCGGUUGUGAAAGCCCCGGGCUCAACCUGGGAACGGCAUCCGGAACUGUCAGGCUAGAGUGCAGGAGAGGAAGGUAGAAUUCCCGGUGUAGCAGUGAAAUGCGUAGAGAUCGGGAGGAAUACCAGUGGCGAAGGCGGCCUUCUGGACUGACACUGACGCUGAGGUGCGAAAGCGUGGGUAGCAAACAGGAUUAGAUACCCCAGUAGUC
rnacentral:rRNA from 1 species